rnacentral:rRNA from 1 species
UUGGUUGGGACGGGUAACGGCCCACCAAGGCGACGAUCAGUAGCCGGACUGAGAGGUUGGCCGGCCACAUUGGGACUGAGACACGGCCCAGACUCCUACGGGAGGCAGCAG